rnacentral:rRNA from 1 species
GACGAACGCUGGCGGCGCGCCUAACACAUGCAAGUCGAACGAGCGAGAGAGAGCUUGCUUUCUCAAGCGAGUGGCGAACGGGUGAGUAACGCGUGAGGAACCUGCCUCAAAGAGGGGGACAACAGUUGGAAACGACUGCUAAUACCGCAUAAGCCCACGGGUCGGCAUCGACCAGAGGGAAAAGGAGCAAUCCGCUUUGAGAUGGCCUCGCGUCCGAUUAGCUAGUUGGUGAGGUAAUGGCCCACCAAGGCGACGAUCGGUAGCCGGACUGAGAGGUUGAACGGCCACAUUGGGACUGAGACACGGCCCAGACUCCUACGGGAGGCAGCAGUGGGGAAUAUUGCACAAUGGGGGAAACCCUGAUGCAGCGACGCCGCGUGGAGGAAGAAGGUCUUCGGAUUGUAAACUCCUGUUGUUGAGGAAGAUAAUGACGGUACUCAACAAGGAAGUGACGGCUAACUACGUGCCAGCAGCCGCGGUAAAACGUAGGUCACAAGCGUUGUCCGGAAUUACUGGGUGUAAAGGGAGCGCAGGCGGGAAGACAAGUUGGAAGUGAAAUCUAUGGGCUCAACCCAUAAACUGCUUUCAAAACUGUUUUUCUUGAGUAGUGCAGAGGUAGGCGGAAUUCCCGGUGUAGCGGUGGAAUGCGUAGAUAUCGGGAGGAACACCAGUGACGAAGGCGGCCUACUGGGCACCAACUGACGCUGAGGCUCGAAAGUGUGGGUAGCAAACAAGAUUAGAUACCCUGGUAGUCCACACCGUAAAC